AUCCUACUCCCUCCGUCCCAAAAUAAGUGUCUCAAAUUUGUAUUAACUUUAGUAUAAAGUUAUACUAAGGUUGAGACAUUUAUUUUGGGACGGAGGGAGUACUUG
rfam:Triticum aestivum genome assembly, contig: Triticum_aestivum_CS42_TGACv1_scaffold_224247_3B